AAUCAACGCUGGCGGCGUGCCUCAGACAUGCAAGUCGAACGCGAAAGAGGGCUUCGGCCCUUGAGUAGAGUGGCGCACGGGUGAGUAACACGUGGGUAAUUUACCUUUGGGUGGGGAAUAACAGUCGGAAACGGCUGCUAAUACCGCAUAAUGCAGCGGUUCCACAUGGAGACAGUUGUUAAAGCGGGGGAGGCGAGCAAUCGCCCUCCGCGCC
rnacentral:rRNA from 1 species